AUACGGAGGGUGCAAGCGUUACUCGGAAUCACUGGGCGUAAAGCGCGCGCAGGCGGUCUUUUAAGUUGGAUGUGAAAGCCUACGGCUCAACCGUAGAACUGCAUCCAAAACUAUUAGACUAGAGUGUGAGAGAGGAAGAUGGAAUUAGUUGUGUAGGGGUAAAAUCCGUAGAGAUAACUAGGAAUACCAAAAGCGAAGGCAAUCUUCUGGAACACUACUGACGCUGAGGCGCGAAAGCGUGGGGAGCAAACAGGAUUAGAUACCCUUGUAGUCC
rnacentral:rRNA from 1 species